AUUGAACGCUGGCGGCAGGCCUAACACAUGCAAGUCGAACGAGUGGCGCACGGGUGAGUUAUGUCUGGGAAACCGCCCGAUGGAGGGGGAUAACCACUGGAAACGGUAUCUAAUACCGCAUACUAUCGGAUGCGCCCAUAUGGGAUUAGCUAGUAGGUGGUGUAACGGCUCACCUAGGCCACGACCCCUAGGUGGUCUGAGAGGAUAACCAGCCACACUGGAACUGAGACACGGUCCAGACUCCUACGGUAGGCAGAAGUGGGGAAUAUUGCACAAUGGGCGAAAGCCUGAUGCAGCCAGGCCGCGUGUAUGAAGAAGGCCUUCGGGUUGUAAAGUACUUUCAGCGAGGAGGCGUUACUCGCAGAAGAAGCACCGGCUAACUCCGUGCCAGCAGCCGCGGUAAUUC
rnacentral:rRNA from 1 species